rnacentral:rRNA from 1 species
CCUACGGGAGGCAGCAGUGAGGAAUAUUGGUCAAUGGACGAGAGUCUGAACCAGCCAAGUAGCGUGAAGGAAGACUGCCCUAUGGGUUGUCAACUUCUUUUAUAAAGGAAUAAAACGAGGCACGUGUGCCUUUUUGCAUGUACUUUAUGAAUAAGGAUCGGCUAACUCCGUGCCAGCAGCCGCGGUAAUACGGAGGAUCCGAGCGUUAUCCGGAUUUAUUGGGUUUAAAGGGAGCGUAGAUGGGUUGUUAAGUCAGUUGUGAAAGUUUGCGGCUCAACCGUAAAAUUGCAAUUGAUACUGGCAGUCUUGAGUACAGUUGAGGUAGGCGGAAUGCGUGGUGUAGCGGUGACAUGCUUAGAUAUCACGAAGAACCCCGAUUGCGAAGGCAGCUUACUAAACUGUGACUGACAUUGAUGCUCGAAAGUGUGGGUAUCAAACAGGAUUAGAUACCCGGGUAGUC